rnacentral:rRNA from 1 species
UGCAGAAUCCCGCGAAUCAUCGAGUCUUUGAACGCAAGUUGCGCCCGAAGCCACCUGGCCGAGGGCACGUCUGCCUGGGUGUCACGC